GACGAACGCUGGCGGCGUGCCUAAUACAUGCAAGUCGAACGCUGAAGGAGGAGCUUGCUUCUCUGGAUGAGUUGCGAACGGGUGAGUAACGCGUAGGUAACCUGCCUGGUAGCGGGGGAUAACUAUUGGAAACGAUAGCUAAUACCGCAUAAGAGUAGAUGUUGCAUGACAUUUGCUUAAAAGGUGCAAUUGCAUCACUACCAGAUGGACCUGCGUUGUAUUAGCUAGUUGGUGAGGUAACGGCUCACCAAGGCGACGAUACAUAGCCGACCUGAGAGGGUGAUCGGCCACACUGGGACUGAGACACGGCCCAGACUCCUACGGGAGGCAGCAGUAGGGAAUCUUCGGCAAUGGACGGAAGUCUGACCGAGCAACGCCGCGUGAGUGAAGAAGGUUUUCGGAUCGUAAAGCUCUGUUGUAAGAGAAGAACGAGUGUGAGAGUGGAAAGUUCACACUGUGACGGUAUCUUACCAGAAAGGGACGGCUAACUACGU
rnacentral:rRNA from 1 species